rnacentral:tRNA from 1 species
CCUCGCCAUGGUGCGGGUGGCGCCCGGGCUGCAGGGCCGGCACGUGGCUGCGAGCAGGCGGCCCAGCUGUCCCGGCUGCUGUCGAGGU